rnacentral:rRNA from 1 species
AGAGUUUGAUCAUGGCUCAGAACGAACGCUGGCGGCAUGCCUAACACAUGCAAGUCGAACGAAGGCCCGGAGCUUGCUCCGGUCACCUUAGUGGCGAACGGGUGAGUAACGCGUGGGAACCUGCCUAGGAGCGGGGAAUAACUACUGGAAACGGUAGCUAAUACCGCAUACGCCCUCCGGGGGAAAGGCUUCGGCCACUCCUAGAUGGUCCCGCGUCUGAUUAGCUAGUUGGUGGAGUAACGGUUCACCAAGGCGACGAUCAGUAGCUGGUCUGAGAGGAUGAUCAGCCACACUGGGACUGAGACACGGCCCAGACUCCUACGGGAGGCAGCAGUGGGGAAUAUUGGACAAUGGGCGAAAGCCUGAUCCAGCAAUGCCGCGUGAGUGAAGAAGGCCUUAGGGUUGUAAAACUCUUUCGCCGGUGAAGAUGAUGACUGUAACCGGUAAAGAAGCUCCGGCUAACUCCGUGCCAGCAGCCGCGGUAAUACGGAGGGGGCUAGCGUUGUUCGGAAUUACUGGGCGUAAAGCGCACGUAGGCGGUUUAUCUAGUUAGGCGUGAAAGCCCUGGGCUCAACCCAGGAACUGCGUUUAAUACUGGUAGACUAGAGACCGAGAGAGGAUGGCGGAAUUCCCAGUGUAGAGGUGAAAUUCGUAGAUAUUGGGAAGAACACCGGUUGCGAAGGCGGCCAUCUGGAUCGGAACUGACGCUGAGGUGCGAAAGCGUGGGGAGCGAACAGGAUUAGAUACCCUGGUAGUCCACGCCGUAAACGAUGGGUGCUAGUUGUUGGGGCCUCAGGUCUCAGUGACGAAGCUAACGCGUUAAGCACCCCGCCUGGGGAGUA